UGCGCAGGCGGUUGAUUAAGUUUAAGGUGAAAGCGUGGGGCUCAACCCCAUACAGCCUUAGAAACUGGUCUGACUAGAGUGCAGGAGAGGUUAGUGGAAUUCCAUGUGUAGCGGUAAAAUGCGUAGAUAUAUGGAGGAACACCAGUGGCGAAGGCGGCUAACUGGCCUGUAACUGACGCUGAGGCACGAAAGCGUGGGGAGCAAAUA
rnacentral:rRNA from 1 species